rnacentral:rRNA from 1 species
AAAUUGAAGAGUUUGAUCAUGGCUCAGAUUGAACGCUGGCGGCAGGCCUAACACAUGCAAGUCGAACGGUAACAGGAAGCAGCUUGCUGCUUCGCUGACGAGUGGCGGACGGGUGAGUAAUGUCUGGGAAACUGCCUGAUGGAGGGGGAUAACUACUGGAAACGGUGGCUAAUACCGCAUAACGUCGCAAGACCAAAGAGGGGGACCUUCGGGCCUCUUGCCAUCAGAUGUGCCCAGAUGGGAUUAGCUAGUUGGUGAGGUAACGGCUCACCAAGGCGACGAUCCCUAGCUGGUCUGAGAGGAUGACCAGCCACACUGGAACUGAGACACGGUCCAGACUCCUACGGGAGGCAGCAGUGGGGAAUAUUGCACAAUGGGCGCAAGCCUGAUGCAGCCAUGCCGCGUGUAUGAAGAAGGCCUUCGGGUUGUAAAGUACUUUCAGCGGGGAGGAAGGUGUUGUGGUUAAUAACCGCAGCAAUUGACGUUACCCGCAGAAGAAGCACCGGCUAACUCCGUGCCAGCAGCCGCGGUAAUACGGA